rnacentral:rRNA from 1 species
AGUUUGAUCCUGGCUCAGAGUGAACGCUGGCGGUAGGCCUAACACAUGCAAGUCGAACGGCAGCACAGUAAGAGCUUGCUCUUAUGGGUGGCGAGUGGCGGACGGGUGAGGAAUACAUCGGAAUCUACUUUUUCGUGGGGGAUAACGUAGGGAAACUUACGCUAAUACCGCAUACGACCUUCGGGUGAAAGCAGGGGACCUUCGGGCCUUGCGCGAUUGAAUGAGCCGAUGUCGGAUUAGCUAGUUGGCGGGGUAAAGGCCCACCAAGGCGACGAUCCGUAGCUGGUCUGAGAGGAUGAUCAGCCACACUGGAACUGAGACACGGUCCAGACUCCUACGGGAGGCAGCAGUGGGGAAUAUUGGACAAUGGGCGCAAGCCUGAUCCAGCCAUACCGCGUGGGUGAAGAAGGCCUUCGGGUUGUAAAGCCCUUUUGUUGGGAAAGAAAAGCAGCGGGCUAAUACCUUGCUGUUCUGACGGUACCCAAAGAAUAAGCACCGGCUAACUUCGUGCCAGCAGCCGCGGUAA